ensembl:lncRNA
GUCAGAUUCCCUACAGAUCAUCCCAAUAUGACAUGAAAGAUCUAAGAGAGCAGCUCGGCGUGUCAAACCUUGACGCGAGCCGGGGUGGCGAUGAAAAGGAAGAGUUGGAUGAACUUUGAUAGACAUCAGAAAUCUGGGAAACAAAAACAAGGUCUAAUUCUGCCAAGAAAGAGGAAGGAUAAAAAAGGAAGGCCGUUUCUUUUGGAGAUUAUGCAAGCGUGUUUGGAUGGGAAGGAGUUCAGAUAAUAAUGAAACAAUUAAAGGCUUUAAGGGCUUGACUGGACUGAUUACGCGGUCACCACACCCCGAACCCUUUCCUUCACAUGAUGCCUCAGGCUACAACGCCACACCCCACGAAAGUGCUCCCCCUCCUGAGUGGGACGGUCUCUGUGCAGGUGGGACAGUCACAGGUCAAUCAUGAAAACUUUGGUCAUCUGGGACAUUAAGAGAGUGUUGGAACCGGAGCCCAGAGGUCUGAUGUCGGAGUGAGAAGCUAUUGUUCAGCGCUACACACAAUCUGACCAAUCUGACCCUGCUUGCUGCUCAAAACACAACUGCUCCGUUUCUUUAUCAUUUACAUCUGGAGAACAAACAGUCCAGGAUGAAUUACACAUUGAACUUUAAUAAUAGAAGUUUUCACAAACUCCGGAGAUUUUGAGAUUUGCAUGUGUCGUAUCUUCAACUUUAUGCACAAUAACCUUCAAAGCAUGCAGGAAAACACAGACUCUUGUAUUCCAACAUUCUUCUU